CUUAGGCAAGAAUGGAAUUCCCUCGUGGAGGGCCUAUUCUCCCAGCCACUGGGCGAGGCAGGAAAUCAGAGAAAUUGAAGACACCAGCCUGGGAAUUAGAAAAUCAGGCAAAGCUGAGUUGGAUACGUAGCCCUUAGAAAGCUACUUAACGGGGAAUGGGAACACUACUUAUCGCAAGGGGCUAAGCAAGACUGGAUAGCCUGGUCCAUCCAUUGUGGCAAAAGGCAGCAACAGCUCCCAGGCCUGGCUUCCAUUGAUAAACCCUCCCCAACCGUUCAGCCCAUAGUCAGUAUCUGGGCAGCUGGAAGGUGCGCUCGGAAGGCAGCAGAAUGGCGUGAACAGAGCACUGGCCCAGGGUCUGUCACUCACCGGUGAACCAUGAAAAAUCCUUCCCUGUGGCUGCGCAAAAUAAAGUGCUUAAUCAGACAGAAUCUAGAAAUCUGUUUAGAUUUUUGAAUUAUAUCCGUGG